rnacentral:rRNA from 1 species
CGACCGGCGCACGGGUGAGUAACACGUAUCCAACCUGCCGAUAACUCGGGGAUAGCCUUUCGAAAGAAAGAUUAAUAUCCGAUAGGAUAUCAAGGUCGCAUGAUCUUGAUAUUAAAGAAUUUCGGUUAUCGAUGGGGAUGCGUUCCAUCAGUUAGUUGGCGGGGUAACGGCCCACCAAGACGACGAUGGAUAGGGGUUCUGAGAGGAAGGUCCCCCACAUUGGAACUGAGACACGGUCCAAACUCCUACGGGAGGCAGCAG